ACCUCUGACUGAGUGCCUGUUUUCGCAGUCUGACCACCUGUUGAAGGGCUGUUUGAUGACGAUUUGGACUCCUCUGGGAGAUGAGGACACACCCACAUCUGUUCCAUAUUGCAGCCAUUGAUGGUGUUACACCUCUGAGUCAGCUGUGGGCCAUCAGAUGCACACACUGGAAAACCAGCACCUGGACUUCAUGCAGGAGAGACGGCCUCAGUGAUGGACUCUGCAUCCUCUACUUUACCUCCUAAUCUCUUUCUCCUUUAACACACAAUUAAAAUCAAUCCAAAAGAGUGUAAACUUACUGAGGAAGUCUCCAAGUCGUAUACAUUUGUACUUUUACUUGUUUUGUGAGUUAUAUUUAAGAAGAGUAAAGUUAUUCACAUAAA